UCCUCGAUAGCUCAAUAGGCAGAGCAAGCGGCUGUUAACCGCUGGGUUCGUGGUUCGAGUCCACGUCGAGGAG
rnacentral:tRNA from 1 species